GCCAUCCGCGUGAGUGAAGAAGGCCUUCGGGUUGUAAAGCUCUUUCGCAAGGGAAGAAAACUUAUGAUCGAAUAAAUCAUGAGGUUGACGGUACCUUGAUAAGAAGCACCGGCUAACUACGUGCCAGCAGCCGCGGUAAUACGUAGGGUGCGAGCGUUAAUCGGAAUUACUGGGCGUAAAGCGUGCGCAGGCGGUUUUGUAAGUCGGAUGUGAAAUCCCCGGGCUCAACCUGGGAACUGCGUUCGAAACUGCAAGGCUAGAGUGUGUCAGAGGGGGGUAGAAUUCCACGUGUAGCAGUGAAAUGCGUAGAGAUGUGGAGGAAUACCAAUGGCGAAGGCAGCCCCCUGGGAUAACACUGACGCUCAUGCACGAAAGCGUGGGGAGCAAACAGGAUUAGAUACCCUGGUAGUCCACGCCCUAAACGAUGUCAACUAGUUGUUGGUAGAGUAA
rnacentral:rRNA from 1 species